rnacentral:piRNA from 1 species
UGAGAUCUGGUUCCCUUAGGAUUUUGA